rnacentral:lncRNA from 1 species
CUCCUCUGUGUAGUGGUUAUGGUGCCAGGAGCGUCGGCACCCCCUCCCAGAGUAAGUCGUCAAACCGUUUAAGAACAGUUUGACAACUUACCUGGAGUCUGCUGGGAUAUGGGGCUGUAGUAGGGUAUAGGAGCAGUGGUGCAAUGUGUGUGAAAGGUUCAGUGUGUGGGUGGGCAGUGUGUAAAUGUGUAUGGUGUGUGUGUGUGGGGGGGGGCAGUGUGUGAAUGUGUAUGGUGUGUGUGUGGGGCAGUGUGUGUAUGGGGCUAGAGUUCACUCCUACU